rnacentral:lncRNA from 1 species
UUUUUGUUUAAAGGUGGGUAGUCCACAACCUUCAAAAUAUAACAAUAGAAGUAAGAUAAUCCACUCACUUCUAAAAUAAGAUAGAAAUAAUAUGUUGGUACUCUUAUCAAAUUAUCAAAGACAUAAAUCUCAAAAAAAGAGAAUCCUUAAUACACUCUUUUAUCACUGAAGAGAACUAGAAAGUCACUCAAAAGGUGAUGUAAUAAUAACUAGAAUGGCUAUUAUCAAUAAUAAGAAGACUAGAAAGUCUUGAAGUAAGACUAAGACUAGAAAGGCGUUGACAAGAGUGAAGAAGGCUUCACUCUUGCCUCCAUAUAUACUAUUUAAAUAAGAGCUAUGUGACGAUGUCCUAUAGGACCUCCAACAUGUGUUGAUUUUGCUAGCCAUAUGUCUUAUCUUGCAAGGGAAGUUAUCUAUAUAUGUGCCACGUAGUUGGCUUGUUCCAUAAGCUACUACACAGAGAUAACUUGUUCUACAAACUAUCAAUACAUGAUUAGCUUUUUGGCCAAGUUUCUAACCUACAAACACACCUAAAGUCAAAACCGUAUCUAUGAAGCUUCUAGGAAGCUACUCUAAAAGACUUUAUGAAAUUAUUCUAUAUUUACCUACUUUUACUUAAUCAUAUAAGUAAUUAUUGAGGUAAAUGUAUAUAUCCAUCAUAAUAGUAGUGGUAGUUGAUGUUGGUUCAAAAAGUACAUUGAUUCAAUAUGAAAUUUAUUGAGUUGUAAAACAUGAAAGACAAGAUGGAUCCAAAUAUGUGGCAAAAGCUCAAAAGAGUAUAUAACAUCAAAAAUCACUACAAAAAAUGUAAAAGGUCCAAGCCACCAAUGUCCCAAUUUAUGGAUUUAGGUUGAUGUAGAAAGUAGAAAUUUGGCAUUGAAAAGUAAUACAUGAUCAUCCUUCUAGUACGUCUUUUGUUGCCAAUAGUUAUCCACAUAUUGCUUUCAUAUAUUUUGUGCAAUAAAGAGGCAAUAUUAUAAUAUAAUAUGACUAAUUAGUAAAAAAGAUGAAAAAAUUAUCAUAUUAUAGAAGAUCUUACUUCAAAUAUUGUAGCAAAUUAUCUUAAAAAAUAGAAAAUAUUCCAAAAGAAAGUAAAAGUGAAGGUGUAAAUGCUACUUUUUUAUAAAGUAGGCUUCUAUUUACUUUGUAAGGCCAUAAAUAAGAAAAAACAAGAUAGAUUAGAAAAAUAAAGGAUAUGAGCAUAUGAAGGAAGAAUUUAGGAGUUGAUUUUAGUAAAAAUUAACUCAAAAAAAAAUUGAUACCUAGUGAAGACUGGUUAUCAACCUCACUUGAAAUCAGACCAUGACGUACAAAACUGAGCACCUACAACAACUUUGGGAUUUUUUUGCAGAUUAGAGAAUAGAAUUUGAGAGCAAACUUGAUAGGGUUUCUUUAGGCAUUGAUUUUGAGUGAUUUGAGUAUAUAAUGACUUGAUAAGAGCUUUGCAAAGUCACAAUUGUUUUAGGUGAUUUUGGAAUUUGUGAAAUAAAUAAAUGUAUUAUAUUUUAGAAAAUUUUGUAAGUUUGGUAGUAGAUCUAUGAAUUAAAUUUUGAAGACUUAUGUGAAUAAUUAUUUGAAGUAUAUACUAUAAGUUCGACCUUGAUCAAAUGGUUAAAUUGAAGGUUAUUGAAUUUCAAGUAGGUUGAGGUCUCAAAAAUUGGACUUUGAGGGGCAGUUAGGAUUUCUAAGAUUUUUAGCAAUCUGCUAAUUGGAUUGAAGUGAAAUUUGUGAAUAAGAAUAAUAGACUUGAUUUUCUAUAUACAUGUAACAUUUGAGAAUAAUUGAAUGGUUUAAAAAGGAAAUAUUGAUAUUGAAAGUUUAAUAUUUAAAUUAGAGUAAGAAGUUGGCCAAUACUUAAGCAGAUUUUAGGAUUUUUCUUCUAUUUGGUAAGUGAAAUUAUCUUCAAAUUUCAUGUGUUGUUUGUUUACUUAGUUUUUAAAAAUUAUAUAAAAUUUUAAGAAAAAUUAAUGAUUUAAUUAAUAAAUAUUGAGGUUCUAAAUUGUACUAGGAUUAAAAUUGGAUUAGGAUUUGAUUUAGAGUUAGGAUUGAAUUAGAAUUUAUAAUUUAGUUUAGAAUUUGCUUAGGAUUUGCUUGUAAUUUAGGUUUUAGAAAUUUCUUAGGAUUUAGAGAUUAGAAUUUUCUUAAAGUUUAUGAUUUAGGAUUUGUUUAGGAUUUGGUUAAGGUUUAGGCAGGGUUUAGGAUUAAACUAGGAUUCAGGAUUUGGUUUAGGAUUUUUUUAGGAUUUAGGAUUUACAAUUUGCUUUAGUUUGAUUAAGGUUUAGUUUAGAGUUUUUUCAAGAUUUAGAAUUUGGCCUAGAAUUUGAUUGAAGUCCAUUAGGAUUUUAACUAGGAUUAAAUUAAGACUUUAUUGAGAUUUAUUUAAGAAAUAUUUGUAAUUAUUUUAAUAUUUCUUUAAGAUUUUUCAUUAUUUAUUUUUAAUUUUAUUAAAGCAUAUUUAGAAUUUUUAAGAUUUAAUUAAAUUUUAUUUAUUAUUCUAUUAAAAUUAGGAUUUUAUUUUUGUAAUUUCCAUUCUAUCUUCUACAAUCACAUGCCCUGUGCAUUCUUAAGAAAGAUUUUACAUGAUACGAUAGUGGUGUCAUUCCUCUUGCAAGGCCAUUAUAAGCCAUUGUAUAAAAUCAUCUGUUAUUAGGUUGUUGGUGUCAAUGAGAUGACGGAGAGGUACUAACAUAAUUGGAUGUUAAUCAAUGUUUAAAAAGAAUAAUAAAUCAUCAGUACUUGUUUGAAUAUUAUUAUUGUAAACAAACUCCAAGGGCAUCAAAGAUUCAUCUUAGUCAUUAUGAUGAAGUGCUAUAAAUGCAUGUAGCAUAUCCUUUAAGGUUUGAUUUGCUCACUCUAUAUUUUUAUGUAUUUGAAGAUGGAAAGUUAUAAACACAUCAAGCCAUGUAUCUAAUAGCUUGAAUAAAAUCUCAUAAAAAUUUCUUAUGAAGUUUGAAUCUUAAUUUGAAAUGAUGACACAAUAUAAAUCAUGGUGACAAAAGACAAUGUCAAAAUUCGAGCAUCAAUAUCAAAGCACAUCAUAGCCAAGUAAAAUUGCUUCAAAAAUUGAUCCAUUAAGAUAGCAAUUGCAGUGUGAUUUUGAGGCAUCUAUAGCAAACAUGUAAUAAAAUUCAUAAUUACUUGCUUCUAACAUGUCAUAGAUAAUGGAAUUAGCUACAAUAGUCUAAAAGAUUCUGUGUUGUAUACUUUGUUAUAUUGACAUGAUUUGCAAGAGUGCACAAAAGCUUGAACAUUACAAUCUAAACUUAUUCAAAAUCAUAACUUUGGAAUUUAUUCUAAAGUCUUCUCAUGCCUUAGAUGUCUAAAUAUUAAAAUAUUAUGUUCUUCUUGAAGUAUGCACGUUUAGAAUAUAAUAUUGUCAAAUACAUACAUGUACUUUUUAAAAUAGAAAAAACUAUUAUUAAGACUAUAAUCUAAAUAUUACACAUUAUCUAUUUUUAAUCAAUCAAUAAUCAUCUUAAAAUAAGUAUCUCAAUGCAUAGCUUCUUUCCAUUCUACUCUUGUGAUUAGAUUUGAAACAAUAUUAAUAAUAGUAGCAACUUCUGCCUUGUCCUUUGAUUUAGACUUCAAAUUUGGUCUGCGCAAUAAGGUGUCCAAUAUAGUGUCUUUUUGCCUUUGUUUGUAUUUAAGUUAAAUAUCAAAGAACUAUAUUUUUUUUUUUAAUGAUGAUGUUAUGAUUUUAUAUUUUUCAAAUACAAAUUAUAUAAUAGACACUAAUAGUUAGUUUGAAUAGUCAUUGGUUUUUCCAACAAAUAGUAUUGCUACACCUUUGUGGCAUAUACAAUUGCUAAUUACUCUUGAUCAUAUAUAAUAUAAUUGUGCUUUGCCGUUUUAAGCUUACAAAAUAUCAAUGUUGAAGGACCAUAUCAAUAGCAAAAUUAGAAGCAUCAAUGUCAAGUGUAUAAGAAAUGUUAAGAUUAUAUGAUUGCAAUAUUAAAGUAGUAAUGAGUGCAUCCUUCAACUUAUCAAAGAUCUUUUUUUGCUCCAAUUUCUAUUCAAAUGAGGCACCUUUUUCCUAUAGGUUUGUCAAUAAAGCAACAAUAUUUGUAAAUUACUAAACAAAAUGAUAAUAAUAUCCAACAAGGCCUAAAAAAGAGUAGACUUUGAAAGCAUCCUUGAAAAUUGGCCAAUUCUCGAUUGUUUUUACCUUAUCACUUUUGUGUGCACAUCUUUGGAGGAUACAAAAUGCCUCAAAAAGGUGACUUGAAACUUUCAAAGUUCAUAAUUUGAUUGUUUGCAAUAGAAGCAACUAUCUUGUAGCAAUAGAAUACUUCUUGUAGAUAUUUUUCAUGCUUCUUAGGGAUUUUAUUAUAUAUUGAGAUAUCAUCAAUGAAAAACAACUACAUACGUGUCCAAAAGAUCUCAAAAAAAUCUAUUUAUUUAAUCUAUGAAGGAGGCAAGAGCAUUAGUGAGGCCAAAAAAUAAAACAAGUCAUUCAAAAUAUCCAUAGCAUAUACAAAAGGUUAUCUUUUCUAUAUCUUUCUUGCAAUAGGUGUCUAUUAAUAGCCACUUCAAAGGUCCAAUUUACUAAAGAUGAUUGUAUCUCAAAGUUGGUCAAAAAGAUCAUCUAUGCAUAGAAGUGGAUAUGCAUUUUUAAUAAUCAUCUUAUUAAUGCCUCUAUCGUGGAUGCAAAGCUACAGUCCACCAUCUAUUUUGGAUGCAAAGAAUAUAAAUGCUCCAUGUGGUGAGAUGAUUUUUUAAAUAAAGCCAUUUUUUAAGAAUUUAUACAAUGUCUUUUAUAAUUCUUAAAGUUCAUUUGGUGUUAGGCAAUAAAUUGACCAACUUGUCAAUUUGAUCUUAAGAAAUAGUUCUAUUUAAAAAGAGGUACUGCAAUCAAUUGACAUGCCACUAGAUAAGUUAAUUAGAAAGAAAUUUUAAUAUUCACAUAUGAAUUAAUUUGCCUAUUAUUAUGUUGUGAUUUACCUAUCAUGUGAAAAUAAUGUGUAUAUAUAUUUAAUAUAUAAUUUAAUAUAUAAUAUAGUGAAAGCUGUAUUAUUAGAUUUUAAUUAAUCAUAAUACAUGAUUAAAUUUUUACUUUGAAGUAGUUAGUUCAAAUAGGCUAUUAUUGAGGUUUAUUUUAUAUUGAUAAUAAUUUUAUAUAUUUAAAGCCACCUUUAUUAGACAUUGGUGACUCUUAAAAUCUUAUUUCUUUUUUUUAUAUAGUUUUUAUAGCAUAUAUUAUAUAGAUCUUGUAAAAAACAAGAAUUGAAGAAGGAUUUUAGUAGCAAAAAAGAAUAGUUAGGGCGUCUAUAUGGAUGUAUAGAGGUGGAUGAUGAAAAUCUCUAUUUUUAUUGGCCAAAAUUCAUGUCCAAGCAGCCUAAGGCCUUCUUAAGGAUUAGAAUUAUUCUUUAAAAGCCAUUCAAACUUGAAAAACUAGAGUCCAAGAUUUUAGGUUUUUGGCUAUGAUUUUGGUACAAAUUUUUAUGUGAUUUGGAGUUUUUAUGAAAGAGAUUUAGGUACUCUAAAUUAAGGUAUUGGUUUUGUAUAUAUUGUCACUUUUAUAGACAUAAUGUAUGCAUAUAGAAAGCAAUAAAAGAUUGAAAAUUACAAUUGGAGAGAAUACUAUAUUUCUUAUAUUUUUUAUAUACUACUUGAUGAAUUUUAAGUUGAUAUAAAGGAAAUAUAGGAUGUUGAAGUUAGCACUUGCAAUCUAAGGGCAAUAAGUGAUCCAAUUUACUAGUGGUAGUAUUUUGAGCUAUAUCUUGAAUAAUUUAAUUAAAAUUUGGCUCAAAAUUUCCAAGAAUAUGUGUUAUCAUAUUACUAAAUUUUAUAGAUAAAAUUUGUGGUAUUUGGAUUUGGAUUUUUGAGAUAUAGAAAAUAGUACUCAAAUCCUUAUAAAUUAGGAUUUAAAGCACUUACUAGGAUUUCUAAGAUGCCAAAAAAAUUGUAGUAGAUUUAUGGUUUUUUUUUUUUGUAAUAAAGCUUAAAGAUAAAGUCCAAAUUAUUUAGAAAUUUGAAAAUAACUAAAUAGUUGGAUAAAAAAAUAUAAACUUCUAAAAUUUGAAAAGAAAAUCUUUUUUGGAAGAAAAAUGUUCUAAAUAGAUUUUUUUAUAGUAUGAGUAUUUUAUCCAAAGUAAAGGGAGUUUUGAAAGCCAAGACUUUAUAUACAUGUUAAAAUUGGAGAUAUAGAGCUAUAAAAAAUUGUAGUAUAAAGAUGGAUUUUUAUAAAGAAAUUAUGGAUUUUCUUUGAGCUUAUUAAAAAUUAAACUUGCCAACAAAUGAUUUAAUUAUGUCUUGGUAUAACAAAGGAUGUUAGGAAAUUUUUAAGUGCUUUAAAAAGCCUUAUGUAUAAAGUUUCUUAAAUAUAAAAAGAUUUCAUUAUUAAAAUAUUUUUUGAUACUAUUAUAUUUAUUUGGCUUUUAUAAUAAGAAUACAUCACCUAUUGAAACUUGUCCAAUAAAUUAAAGCUAAACUCUCUAUAACUAAAUAAUCAAGAUAUUUUUAGAUAAAAAAUCAUACCAUACGACACUAUACUAGCCUUUUGGCUCUCUUUCCUAUAAUUGAAGCAAGAUUUGGAACCACCAUAAAUCCUAUAUCUUAAUAUCAAUUACUUACAUUAUAUUUUCUUUUUUAUAAAGAUUAUCCUUAUAAAUAAGCCUUUAGCCGUAGAUUAUUUUUUACCUCACUUCAUGCAAAAGUAUUAAGAAUCACCUUGCAUCUACCAUCUUUGAAUGAGAUCAUCCUUGCUAAUCAAUCAACUUGCUUAUUUUAUACCUUUAGCUAUGGCAUAUCAAAGAUAAUGUCAUAUUUGAGCUUUAUUAUUCUAAAUUUCUUUCUUAAGGCAUAGGUGUCACUCAACAUUAAGAUUUUUUUUUCAUAUGUCUCAUUUAAUACUUCCUUUUGAUCAUUUAUUAAGUAUAUACUUUCUCUUUUAAUUAUCUUGGUGUUAAUUCCAAAUUGGUUGGCUAUCUCAGUUAAGAUGUAAUUUUUUAUAGAGCUACAAUUUAUAAGUACUUGACAUAGCUAUCUUCUUAAUUGACUUAUUAAAUAUAUUAGAUUAUCCUUUUAAUAGUUUUUUGAGGCCAUGCUAUUUGUCUCUAAGAAAUAGCAACUAUUUCCAAUACUAGCCUUUGCUAUUUUUACUAGAAAGUCCCAUUUUUUUGCUCCAUUUUGUUAUUGACUUGGUGAAUCUUGAGAUUAUCAAUCUGCAUUAAUUUGUUGGUGCUUGAAUUUUGAUAUUUUGGACAACCUCUGAUCUGAUGGCUUAAUUCUUGAUAGUAAAAAUAUAUUUCUUUUUGCACCAAUAUUUGUCAUGUUUAUAGUAUCAAUAAUCCUUAUAAAGCAUCAAUCUCCAUCAAUAUUAGUUUUUGUGCCAAAAUAUUGGAUAGCAACAUAAAACAUUGUACUAUAGAUUGUACUCCAUAAUUUUUGAAAUCUAUAGUAUCGGCCAUCUUUGCAAUCCUAAUUGCUUCUUCAAAUGUUUGUAGAUCUCUUAAUUCUACCUCUUAUUGGACCAUAGGUUAUAAUCCUUAUACAAACCGAUCCAUCAUCUCUACCUCUGAAAUAUUGUUAAUUUGGAGACAUAAAAACUUGAAUCAGAAGACAUAAUCUUAUAUUGGCCUAAAUUAUGUAAGGUUAGCUAACUGAUCACAUAUUAUCUUCUUCACAUUAAUGGGCCAAAAUCGACUCUUAAACUCGGCCUCAAAGUCCUUCCAAUCACAAAAUCCACCUUCAAUUCCAUAGUUUUGAAUUCAAUGUUGUCACCAAAUGAUUGUUAUAUCUUUCAAAUAGCUAGCUGCAUAUAUAAUUCCUUCAAUGGUAUUUGUCUAAGAUAAGUGGAAGUAUUGUCAUAUACUAAAUAAUCAUUAGCAUAUAUCUUAUUUCCUUCAAGUUUUAAAAUAUGUAUUAUGCUUGCUUGAUUUUAUCCUAGAAAAUGUGCAAUUCCUUGCACUAAAAGCUUCUAUUUGUUUUUGUAAAGUAGGUAUCUAAUUUAGAAGGUGUUAUAUCUAAGGUUCUUUUUGAGAUAGGUUCAUUAUAUCUUUCAUGCUACAAUUUCUUUAUAGGAAUUUGUUACCAUAACAUCUUCUCCUUUUUGAGCUGAUUUCUUAAAAGUAGCUUGUAGUAGGCUCAAAAUAAUAUUUAAUGUGACCAUAAUAACUAAACUCCAACUAAAUAUUUGCUAUUAACAUACUAUUAAUGAAUAAAAUAACACUUAUUUUAAUAUUAAUAAAAUGGAACUAAACUCUCUCUAAGAUCUAAAAUCCUUUCAAUCUAUAGCAAUAUAAUUUCUAUCACAAUGUAGGACAAAUCAAAACAAAAUAUAUAUAUAUAUAUAUAUAUAUAUAUAUAUAUAAACCAAAUUUAAUUGAAAGAAAGGAACCAAAGCCAUAUCUAAUCAAAUAUUCAAAUUGCCUCGGCUAAUCUUAUUUAUACUUUAUUCAAUCAUUUUAAUUUUUUUUAAUUUUUUUAAUAAUAGAUCCUAUAUAAACUACUAACUUAAUUUUAAUUUUAAAAAAUUCUAAAAACUUCUAAAAACUAGCUUCAACUACCUAUUUCUAUGCAUCAACAAUACAAAUGGUCUAUUAUAUUCUCUCUAAGGUGGUUAACUUUUAUGAUAUAAGAGAUACUUAAAAAAAUUGAAAAAAGUAUUGGAUUGAUUUAGAUGUUGUCAAUUAUAAAUAUUUAAUUAAAAUAUUAUGAAUAUAUAUGGAUUAAAAAAUAUUAGAUAUUUAAUAUUUAAGAUAUUUAAAUUGAUAUAUAUAUAUAUAUAUAUACAUAAUUAAAAAGAAAUAUUUGAGGUUUUAAUUUGAUUCAUUUCCCUAUUUGUUGAAACUACCUAUAAUACUGUAUGAAGAGCUUCAUCUACAAGUUUUUCAAUAUUGAAAUAUGAGGCCUUCAACUUGACACAAGUUUAAAAGUUGAUUUUUUGUAUGCUUUCUAUUUAAAAAAUUUGAAGUUGACAUGCUCUCGUAUUAGUCAUGCUUUUGAUUCUAAUGAUAUGUUUAAAAUCUUCAUGGAAUCUAUGAUUGAAGAGAUACAAGGUCAAAAAAAGUACAACUAUCAAGGAUAUGAACCUCCAAGGAAAACAAAACCUCAACAUAUUCUUGUGUUACUCAAAAAGACAAGAAAAUCACUCAAAAAUGAUGUAAUAUUAAACUAGAAUGGCUAUUACCAAAGACAAGAAGAUUAAAAAGUCUUGAAAUAAGAUUAAGGACUAGAAAGCCAUUGUCAAGAAUAAAGAAAUCUUCACUCUUGCCUCAAUAGAUACUCCUAAUUAAGAGCUACAUGGAAAUAUCCUAUAGAACCUCUAAAAUGUAUUGACUUUACAAGACACAUAUCUUAACUUGUAAGGCAAGUUUUCUAUAUAUAUGCCACAUAGUUAAUUUAUUUUAUAAGCCAUUAAUACAUGGUUAAUUUUUUGACUAAAUUUCUAACCUAUCAAUCAAAUAUAAAUACAUGUAAAGUCAAAACAACAUCCAUAAAGCUAUUAAGAGGUUUUUUUAAAAGUUAUUAUAAAAUUAAUUUUUAUCUAUUUUUACCUAUUUCUAUCAAAUCAUAUAGUUAUUUAUUAGAAUACAUAUGUAUAUCCAUGGCAUUAUCUAUUCUUUUAGGAAUAAGUUCUAUAAGAAGUAGUCAUCAUGUGUUGAUGAAAUCUAAGAUGCAACAAAUUAUAUUUAUUACAUACUCUAAUCUUUAUUUUCUUUAAAUAUGGUUGAUAUGUCCUAUUAGCCAUCAAUAGUAUCCUAUAUUAGUGCUGUCAUAUUACGUAUUGUCUUGUUUGGAAAUACACCAGACACCUAGCUGUCAAAGGUGAGGUUGUGUUUCACAAAUAUCAAAAAAAAUCCUAAUAGAUUUCAUCCAUAUGAAAAGAAUAUAAUCCAAAUUCUAAUUCAAAAGUGUUAAAAAAUACUCUUCUUAAUAGCCUCAAUCACACAUAAAUCUCAAUUACCUUGUUACUUUCAUAUUUAAGCAACUUAGAUUUUUCUUAUAAGUCUCAAUUCUAAUCAAAGAGCUUUAACAAGCUGUAACUUCUAAUUUGACUGUCUACUUGAUGUAAAAUUUUGCAUGCAAUUGUCAAUGUAAGUCUUCUAUAUGUUGAAGAAUUUUCAUUCCAAUCCAACUUAUAAAUUGUGAGAAAACCUCCAAAAAUUGUACUAAUGUCACUUAGCUGCCAACUUAAAAAGUGAAGCAAAAAUCCUAGCAGUGAUUUCUCGUUCUCUAAUUAUUAAAUUUGACUCAAAAUUGGUAUGCAACUUGAUCUUUAAAUAGUUCAAUAUCAUGCUAAAUUUUACCUUUAUUCAACUAGUAGAUCUCUAGAUAUCAUAGAAACCCUACUCAACUCCAAAUUGCCAACUUCCAAAAUCCUCUUAUGCUAAAAAUCAAAUAUCUCUAAACCACACUAUUAGAUUAUUAUAAAACAAAUUAUACACUUAGCACACCUAAUAAGCCAAAUAACAUCAAAUUUUGAACUAUAUAUGUUACACUAAUUGCAUGAACUAGCUAAAAUUACUAGUCGUAAUUAUAUUAUAUAAAACCCAAAUCACCAAUACAAAUCCUGAUCUUGAACAAUAAUUUCUAAGUCCUCAAAAAUCCUACCAAAAAAAUCCUUAUGCCUUUGAAAAGAGCUUAAAGCUAUCUCUCAAAACCUAAUCUCCAAUCUUUGAAUGAAAUCCUAAUUUGCCCUAGGCAGUCGUUUUAGUAACUAGAGGUCUGAUUUCGACCAUGUCUCACAAAUGGUCGACGCUAGGUAUCAAUCUAAUCUAUCCUAAGGAUUUUUUAGUCCAAUCCUAUCCUCAAAUUGAUCCUACUAUCAACCAUACUAAUCAUUUAUCUCUUCUAUCUUGAUUUUAACAAUUUUUGGCCUUUCUAAGAUAAUAAAAAAGUUUCUGUAUCCUAAAAGGUAAAAAUACUAACUAACUUUUAUCUACUUACUAUUAAGACAAGAAAAUAGGAUAAGAGACUUUUACAAAAGCCUUAUUAAAAUAUUUUGAAUGCUUAUUGAAUUAAUAUAAUAGAAUAUUAAUUAAAAAAUCAUUUUUAGUCAUAUUUUCACCAUAUAAUUGUGUCACAAUACAACAACACAAAAAGACCACAUUGUUAUUUGAUCAUUUUUGAGGCCUUCAUAGCUUCUUUUGAAUAAAAAAUUUGGAACACUACUAGGUGUCAUUCCUAUCUCUUACAAAAUCAUCAAACAUUGGAAGUCUCUUCUAAGGCCAUGAUACAAAAUCAUCAAAUAUUAGAAGUCUCUUCCAAGGCUAUGAUACAAAAUGCAUUGUAUCUUGUCAUGUAUUAGAGGAAGGAUAUGUUAUUCUUAAGGAUCUUCAUCUUAAUUACAUCAUCUUGAAGAUUGUGACAAUUGUAAUAUUUUGUCCAAUAAAUCAACAAAUAAAAGCUAUUAGAUUUAAUCUACUAUUUAUUGAUUCUUCAUAUCCUUAACAUCACAAAUAUACAAGAGCUAUAAAAAAAAGGUAGAAGGUAGAAUGUUAUCUUCUUUGGAUCUUGUUUUUUUUAUAGCAAAGAUUUGCUAUUCUUCAUCUUGAUUUUGAUGGAUUUUGUCAAUGAAAAGCCUUAACUUUCUUUCUUGAAUUUGCAAGAUAAUUUAUUGGCUCCUAUGUAUGUUCACUAAUAUCAUAUCUAUAAUAAUGAAUAAGUUAUUCUAACAUAUUUUGGCACUGCUUUAAAUCUAAAACUUCUUCGACUUCAAACUUUUGAUUAUUAUCCACUUCUAUAGAACAAGGUGAUAUUUGUCUUCUUUUCGAGAUAUUUAUUGUCUUAUAUGUCUUAAGAAGAGACACAUGAAAUAUAGAAUGGAUCUUCAUAGACUCCGAUAGAUAUAAUCAAUAAGCAAAAAGAUUGACUUGUUCAUAAAAAAUAAAAAUAAAAAAUAAAAAAUAAAUAAAAAAAAAUCCAAGCCUACAAUAGUUUAACUUGCCACAAGGAUUAGUAAUCUUGGUAUUAUAAUGGAGUAAUUAUACCUUAUCAAUCACAUUGAAUUGUAGUUGUUCCUUGUGAUAAGCAUCUAUAUUGAUUUUUUUUCAUUCUUGAGCUUUCUUUAACUGUGCCUUUAUUGUUGUAUGUAACUCUGAUAAAUGAUUUGCUAAAUUUUUUGCUACUAGAUUAUCAACUUUUAAAAAGUCAAAAGUAUCAAGUCAUCAAUGAUAACCAUAAUUAAUAAAGAAAGGUAUUUAUUGAUUAAAAGAAUGUAUCAAAUUAUUAUACUCAAGUUUUGCCAAUAAUGAAAGAGUUUUCCAAUCAUCUUAAUGAUAAUUGAUACUAUACCUCAAGUACUUCUCCAAAAUUUGAUUCACCCAUUUUGUUUGCCAACAAUUUGAUGAUAAAAAGCUAAAGAGAGCUUUAUAUCCACCUUUAGAAUCUUGAAAAGGAUUCUUUAAAAUCUUAAUAUAAAUUGAAUCCUUCUAUUUAAUAUAAUAUAUUUGAAUAAUCCAUGAUAGCAUGAGCCCAAAUUUCAUCACUCAAUGAAAUUGAUGCCACAUUAUAAGUUCAAGAGGUAGUGUCACGGCCAUAAUCAUGUAAGCUAAUAAUUACAUAUAGAAAUAGGUAGAAGUAAGUAAAAGUAGAUAAAAGUAAGUUAAUUGUAUAAUAUUUAAUAUAGAAGCUUCCUAGAAACUUCCUAGACGCUGCUUUGACUUCAUAGGUGUCUUUAAUUGACUUUUUGGAUUAGAAACGUGGUCAACAAGUUGGCCAUGUGCCACACAUGUUGUUAGCUUGAAGAUCAAGCUAACUAUGUGGCCCACACGUAGAAAAACUUGCCUUGUAAGUCAAGGCAUGUGUCCUACAAAGUCAACACAUAUUGGAGGUCCUAUAGAACGUCGCCACGUAGCCCCUAGUUAGAUAGUAUAUAUAGAGACAAGAGUGAAGGCUUCUUCACUCUUGUCAACUCCUUUCUUGCUUCUAGUCCAGGUUCAAGAGUCUUUAGUUUCUUGUCUUGUGGCAAUAGCCAUUCCAGUUUCCUUUUAAUAUACCUACUUGUUUAUAUUUUGACUUAUUAUAUCGAGAUAGCCUUUUGGUGUAUAUUUUUCCUCAUCGAGUCUUUGUCCUUGACAGGUAGAAUGGAAGAAUUUUUAAUUGUGUAAUUAUUAAAUUAAUUUAAAUAUUAGUAUUUGUAAUUCAAUUAACUUUAAGCCUUUCAAGAAAUGGUUAAAAAUAUUAAUAAAAAAAAUAAUAAAAUUUAUUAUGGUCUUUUAAGGCUAUUUGCAUGAUCUCCAUUUAAAUCUCAAUGAUUUGUUCAAGAUCAUUUAUAUGGUCUUUAAUUAUUAAUUUUUAUGAAAUUAAAAAAAUAUAAUUAAUUAAUAUAAAUAAAUAAUUAAUUAAUUAAAACUUAUAAACUAUAAUUCCUUAAAUAAUUGAUUGUAAAACUAAUUGAUUAGAUUAUUACUACUAACUAUAAUAAAAGUAAAAAUCUUAAAAUUUAAAUUGAAAAUAAAAGAGUAAAGAUUAAAGGUCGAAAAUUAAAAAUUAAAAUCUAAAAGUUGAAAUAUGAAAGUUAAAAAUUAUUAUAGAAGUAAAAGUAAAAUUAGGACUAAAGAAAGAUAAAAUGAAAGGCAUCUUAAUAAUGUCCAAGAAUUAAGAAGAGCAAAACCUUUCUACUCCAAAAUUUUCCAAAAAAUUUAAUUAGCUCCAAAUUGAAUGAUUAUUGGUUUUCUAUAAAUUCAAGUUAAAGGCACUCUGGUUCUAAUAAAUUUAUAUUCAAUCUAAUAUCUAAGCCGCAAAAAAUGCUUGUUCAAAGUUGAGUGGCCAAAAUUGCCAUAGUAAGCAACCUCCUUCCACUUAAAAAUUAAUCAAAAAAUUAAUUUGUCUUUAAAUUCAAUGAAAUAUUUUCCAUUAAAAGCUUAGAUUAAAGAUACAUUAACUCUCAAAAUUUCACAAUAAUCUAAUUAAGAAGCAUGGAGAAAUGCCAUUUCAAAGAAGAAUGAUCUAAACUGUGAAGGUAGCCAAUCCUUGUGCACUCAAAAUUUUACCAAAAUUUUAUUCUUAAUCUAAAAGAAGCAAUCUUUACUUUUUUGGAAAGCUAACAUUAAAAUCUAAAACCAUAAAAUAUUUUAUAUUGAAACUCAAAAAAUUAAAAUAAAAAAUUGAAGAAAAACCAAUACUUUUGAAAUCAUUAGAGUAUUUAGGAGGCUGAGAGAGUUAUCUACUAUAAUGAGGUAUAUUUUAGAACUUAGUGACUAUCAUUUAAUACUUAAGUUUUAUGUAAACACAACCAAAAAGUUUAAAAUGAGAUAUAAAAUCAAAAAUAAAAUUAAGAUUAGAGUUUAGGGUUAAAAUUUGGUUUGGCUUUGCCAUUCACUAAAAGAGGAGAGACAUAGGGCUUAGACAACCAAGCCACUUUUAUACAAUUGAAUGGUGGCUUGUGGAAGGGCAGCCAUAUCUUCACCCUUGAUCUCUAAGAUUUUUUAUGUAGAUCUAUGGCCUUCAUUCAUUGAAGAGCUAAUUUUGUUAGUAAGGUUGAUGGCUCUUGUAAGUGGUCAAAAAAAAAACACUUUUUGAUAAAUCUAACUUCACCAUUAUGUUCAAAAUAUCUUUUCAUGCUAAAAUCAAUUACUCACAUGCCCCAAUCUAUGCUCAUUUGCAAAUUUUUAUGAAAGUUUUUAUCUACAAGGAUCUUAGCAAUUUUUGUAAAAUUCUUCAAAAUAAGAAUUUCAUUCCUCCACUUAUAUUUUGAAAGAGAAGAUGCUGAUCUUGUUUUCUUUAUUCCAUGGGAUGAAUCCAAUACCACCAUUGCAUUUGAAAGGCUUCCAUUAAUUAGAAGAAUCACUAUGCUGCUUGAAUUUAUUGAAUUUGGAGGAAAUUUCAAAACUAUCAUUAUUAAAUUUCACUUGAUCUUUUAAAAAAUAAUAAUUCUAACUCACUUUAAAUCAUAUGAAAUGAUUGUAGGUAAAUUUAUAGGCUCUUAAUCAACCUUCUUAGUAGUAACUAAUAGCUUCUAAAUUAUUAAAAUUAACUAAGUUAUUAUUUUAAUUUUAUAAUUCUUAUCACUUAAAUUCUAAUUAACUUAACUCAAGGAAUUAGACUAUGAUUUAUACCAUCAAAUAUUACAAUCCUAAAAGUUCUAUAAAACUAAAUUUUACUUAUAUAAAUCCUAAUUUAACAUGCUCAAUCAUCAUAAAAUAAGAAAAUAAUUUUUAGAGCAUAAUUGAGAGCUUACAGAUAGUGAUAGAUAUUGUCAAGAAAAAAUUUAGCUGUUUCUUUAUCUAUGAUAGAUUUUGUACAUAGUAUAAAAUAUGCCAUCAUGAUAAAAUAAUCUACUAUCAUAGAUAUACAAUUAUAUGAAACUAAGAUUAGAAGAUCUAUAAUAAAAUCCAUAGAAAUGAAAGACCAUAGUUGUUCUAGAGUAAAUAUUUGCUAAAGAGGUCUAUAAGGUUGAUGACGAGGAGUUUUGAAUCUUGAUUAAAUAUCACAUGAUUAUACAAAGUCUUUAACUAUCUUCCACAUUUGAGGCUACUAAAAAUCUCUUGAUAUUAUGUGAUUGUCGUUUUACUUAUUCUACAAAUUCUUUUCAAAAUAAACUUGUAGAAGGAGAUUUGAACACAAGGAAAGACUAACCGCAUGAGCUUACAUAUUAGAAUCACACAAUUAAUUAUAUUCCAAACCACUAAAAUACCAAGGAACACUACAAUACUUUCUGCCACUAACAAUAUUCCUUCAUCAACUGAUAACAACAAAAUGUAACCCUGUACUCUCUCAAAAGACUGCUCAAAAUACAUAUAUAUAUCCUCCAAUACUAGAAAUAACAGACUUCUAUUCCAACUAAUCUCGCUUCACACAAUUUCUAUAAUCACAAACUUCUUCUAUCAAAACAUACAACUUUCAACAAACAAAGGAUUAUAAUCUUCCAUUCAUAAUCAAUCUUUACAAAAUCUUAUAACAAUCUUCCAAUAUCUUCUUAAAUAAUUCAAUCAUACAAUAAUUCAAUUCUUCACUUAAUAUCUUAUAAAUCAAUCUUUACUUUUAUUUCAUAGUAUCACUUCACAAUAACCGAAAUCUAUUCCUUCCUCUUUAAAAACAUAAACAAAUAAGAGAUAGCACCAAGUUUAUUCCAGCUCAUAACUAUCAUAGUCUGGCCCUAUCAAAAUCUACUCCAACUAUUAUAUACUUAUCCCUAAAAUCCUAGAUUCUAACCGUCAUUCCCUAGUUAACCAUUUUGCACAACUAAUUCAUUCAUUUGACCUAUUGAAUUGACUACCUUACGAAUGAUUAAUCUACUUUAUCAAUAUCUUACAAAAACAAAUUUCUACCUAUUCUAUAUAUUAGCUCCAAAGUCUUGUUGUAUCUAAAAUGUCCAACUAUUAGAAAGUCAUGACAAGUUUGAAGAACACAUAAUUGUACCUUACUUUUUGGAAUGUAUAAUUGUUCCUUGAAAUAGAAUAUGUUGUUCUUAAACUCAAAUUUAGAAGUACCAUGAGAUUUAGAAGAAUUAUUCUUAAUAUAAUGGAUAAAAAGAUUAAAAUACAUACUUGAUUUAAUUUGUUUGAUAAAGGUUAAAUCAAUAAUCAAUGUUGAUUUUAUUGCUCAAAGAUAAAAAAUGCUUUGGCUUCAAGAGAAUCAUUCUUUGUUGAUCAUAAGAUGCAUUUUUUUUCUUUUGUUGUAAGAUAAGAAUGUCUAAAAAUGAUGUAUGAUAAACCUUAUUAUUUUUUAGAUCAAUAAGUAAUCUUAAAAUGGAAUUUUGAUAAAGACAUACUUUAAUGAGCUUGAUAACAAUUCAAAAUAUGUGUCAAUAUGAAGUAUUCAAGGUUCUUGAAAUGAAUCCACAAUUACAAGAAGCUCUUUGUCAUCGAUAUCAUAAUUAAUCCCGGCUAUUAAAAAUUUUCUAAAAUAGGAAGUUAUUGAAUGGAAUUUAUUAUCUACUUCUAUUUUUGAUAAUAUUAUAUUUAAGAAAAAGUCUAAUAUAUUUAUUUCCAUGAUAAAUGCCUUAGAGAAUUCAUUUGCAAUCAUUACAUAUCUAUUAUUGUUUUUGGAAUCUUUUAAUUUAUGAUAGUCUAGACCUUCUUUGGAUCCAUCAUUAAUACUUUAUUGGAAAUAAUGUAUCCUAAGAAGUUAACUUGAAUAGUAUGGAAUACACACUUUUCUAACUUGGCAUAUAAUCAUAUAUCUCUAAAUUUUUGUAACAUACAACAAACAUAAAUUUUAUGUUCUUUUAUAUUCUCAAAGUAGAUUAAGAUGUCAUCCAAAUAAUAAACAAUAAAAUCAUCAAGAAACUUACAAAAGACAUCAUUCAUUAGAUGUUGAAAAAUAGCAAGUAUAUUUAUGAGUCCAAGAGACAUGACAUUAUAUUCAAAAUGUCCAUACCUAGUUCAUAAUGCAGUUUUCUAUUUAUUUCUUUUUUUAAUAUAUAUCAAAUUAUAUGUUCCUUGUAGAUCUAUUUUGUAUAGAUCUUUAUGUAUUUGAGUUGAUCAAAAAGUCCUGAAAUUAAAGAUAGUGGAUACAUAUUCUUCAUGGUGAUCUUAUUGAGUUCUUGAUAAUCUAUGUACAUUUUCAGAGAUCCAUCUUUUUUUCUUUACAAAUAAGAUAAGAGCCUUGGCUAAAAAUUUAGAAUGGUGUAAGAAAUUUUUAGCCAAAUUUUCAUCAAUGUAUUUCUUAAGUGUACCCGAUUUGGUUUUUUUUAUAGGCUAUAUAUUGGUCUAAAUGGUGGUUGAGCUCUUUUUUGAAGAUCAAUGGAGUAAUCAUAAGGACGAUGCUCAAAAAGAAUAUUUGCAUUCUUCUUUUCAAAAGUAUCUUACAAAUCUUGAUACUGAUUAAGAAUAUUAUUUGACAUCUUCUUACUAUGAGAAAUGGACAUGGCAUAUAAAGAAAAAGAUAACCCUCCUUUUGCAAUAUGCAUGAAAGUUCUUAUUCUUAUAAGUUAGGAAUUGAAUGUACUAGACUUACAUAUUUCUACUUGAUUAACAAGAUUUUGGAUUAAACUAUCAAAAAAAUUAAGGUUACAAAAAAUCCAAUCUAUCUAAAGAUUAUACUUUUUUAACUAAGAUAAUUUUUAAAUAAUUAGAUUAGACAGAGAUCUUAUUAUAUUAAAUAUUAGUAUGCUAUUAUUAUAUUUAAUUGCUACAUCUAAAAGAAUAGUCUCAUGCGUAACAUCUCUAGAAGAUAGCAAACAACCAUCUAUGACUUCUAUAUGUACAUAUUUAGUUUUUUUCAUUAACAAUAUUUCUUAUUUUUUAAAAAAAUCUUUAUCUACAAAAUAAUCUCAAAUUCUUGAAUCUAAUAAAGUUAAGACUUUGUAAUUUUUGGUCCUAAAUAAAUUUAUAUUAUAAAAUAAGAUGAGUAAUUUGAGGAGAAAAUAAGACCUUUAUUAGAGAUUAUGUAGGAUUCCAAUUGCAUGGUCCUUAUAGUAGCUUGAAAAACUUGUUUUCAAAUAUAUUAUCUUUUUUGGCAACCAUGCUUUUCAUCUUGUGGUUGUGUUGUUUCUUUGAAUAAUAUUCAAUAGUAAGUUUAGCUUCACAAUAUAAGCAUAAGCCUUCUUAAUGUCAUUGAGUCUUUUCCUAUUUCGUAAUUAGUAUAAAAUUUAUUGUAUCAAUUUGCAUUAGUUUAUACCUUGAUAAAUAAGUUUCUGAAAACUUGAAAGUUGCCAUCAAUAUUUGAUUUGUUUUUCUUUAGUCAAGUCUUUAUUUUUGAUAUCUUUCAAAUCUUUGAUUGUUGCAUGCAAUUAUUUAUGUAAUAAAUUAUUUCAAAGAUUUUGCCUUUUGCAUUGUCAAUAAAAAAUCUUUGAUAUUAUCCUUUAAUCAUAUCUAAGUUGAUUGAUAAAGGAUUUGUCAUUGUACUUUUGGCAUUAUUAAUAAUAAAUCUCUGAUGUUAUCCUUCAAUCUAUAUUAAAAUUCAUUGAUAAGAGCUUUGUCAUUCUAGUCCAUGUUACAAGUAAGGUUUUAAAAUUCAACAAUAUAUAUGGUAUUUGAUUAUGAUUUUUGUUGUAAAAAUAAGAACUUGGUUUUUAUUCUCUUUUUUUCUAAUCAUUUUUUUAAAUGUAUCUAUAAACAAUUUUAGGAAUGAAUUCAAGUCAUAAAGGUCAUGAAUCUUUUUCCAUCAAAGAUGCAAAUGAAGAAAGAGUACUUUUUAAUAAAGGUGCAUCUAUGAACCCAACUUGAGUAAAUCCAUGAAGAUAUUGAAAAGGAUGCAAACUUAAAUAGAGCUUAAUUUAUUGUAGAAAUCCUUGAAAUUUUGAUCUUGUUAUAUCAAACUUCUCAAGCAUACUAAUCCUUGCUUCUUUUGUGUUUGUAGAAAUAAGACUUUUUGAAUUUGAUUAUAAGUGAGAUCUGCCUAUUAUCCUCAAUUGCACAACUUUUUGGAGUAGACUCUAGACUUUUUUAUAAAUAAAAGAAUAGUACUUUUUAAAUUCGAAGUGGUGAUGCAUAAAAAUUCCAUCUUAAGAGUGUUAACAACUUUGUGAAGGUCUACAAUAGUUGCAAAUCUAAUUUCACUUCUAUCAAAUAUAGCAUCUAUGAUUUUUUAUUUUAUUUUAAAAAAAUUAAUAAAUCUAUAAAUAAAAUUAAAAAAGAUAAUCUAAAAUAAUACAAAAAUAAUGAGUUAGGAUUCUUGUCAAACUAUCAAUAAUAAGAACUUGAUGAAGGCAAAAUAAACAAGUGAGAUUUUUUUUUAAAAGAUGACAAAAUAAUAUAUAUAUAUAUAUAUAUAUAUAUAUAUAUAUAUAUAUAUAUAUAUAUAUUAAAAAAAUUAGAAUAGUGAUUGCCAAAAGACAAAAAAAUUAAAAAUCCUUAAAACUAAAUUAGAAGUACGAAAAGAAUUGACUAGAAUAAAGAAUAUUUUAUUCUUACUUCUAUAUAUAUUAUCUAAUUUGAAGCUAUGUAGUGAUAUUCUAUAGGACCUCCAACAUGUGUUGACUUUAUAAGACUUAUGACUUAACUUAUAACGUAGUUUUUUAUAUGUAUUCUACAUUUUUAGCUUGUACUACAAACUAUCAAUACAUAUAAUACACAACUAGCUUAUUAGCCAAGUUUUGAACUUAUCAAUCAAGUAUACACAUGUUUAAAAUCAAAUAUGCAUUUUUAAAACUUUUAAGAAGCUUGACUACAAGAUAAUACCAAAUUUACCUAUAUUUAUCUUCUAUCUAAUAUUUCUUAUCUAGAUAAAUAUGUAUAUCUAUGACAUAAUUCAUAAAUCCUAACCUAUAAAUUUUAAAUUCUUAAAUCCUAAAUUUUAGUAUAGAAAGAGAUAUAAGAGGUUUUUUGAUAUGUAAAGAGGAUGUUUAAAAAGAUUUUUUUUAAACAUGCCAUAAUUAUUUAGUAACAUUGGCAAAUAAGAUUUAUCAAAGAAAUUCAUAUGUAUCUUCUAUUUAAGUCAAAAAUACUUUGAUGUUUACUAAACAAGCAAUAGGAUGGUAUUGCAAGUAUAUAGAGUAAUAAUUUUAACAAGCAAGGGAGUAGAGAAAUAUCUAAGCUAGUCAACUAGUAUUUGUACAAGAUGAACAAUUUUUCUAUAAUGGUUGGAAGCAAGAUGAUCCAAAUAUUUGGCUUUUCAUCUUUGAAAUUCUUCACAAUGCAUAUUAAUUUGUUUAUAAAGGGUGAUAGAUAGAUAUGUGGAUGAAGUAAUAUUAAAGAAGACCAAUAAUAUUACAUGUGAAAAGAAAGAAAGAGUAUAAAAAGAUGGUAUUGAAUGAACUUGAUACUUCAUUCAAGAGUAUGGUGCAAAUUGGCAUAACUAUGUAUAAUCCUUUGCAUAGACUUAGAAUAUAGAAAAUAUGGUUUUAAAUCAUAUGUAUACAUAUAUAUAUAUAUAUAUAUAUAUAUAUAUAUAUUCAAAAGGUAGUAUAAAUAUGAUAUUUUAUAACCAAAAAUUCAUACACAUAUACAAAUAAAUUUUUAUGUAUUGAUUUUUAAAAACUUUAAAUAUAUUGUUAAAAUUACAAGCAUGUCAAAUAGCAGAAGGUCAAAUUUAAACUUCAAAAAGACAAAGUACAAUAAAAAUUAAUAAAAAUUAUUUCAAGUCAAAAAUCUUAUAUUCUAAAAUUAAAAAAAAAAUUAUAUAGGAUUUUAAAUCCACCAGUAGUUUGUAAAUCUUCAAAAUAAGAGGAUUGAUGAAAUCCAAACUUUAAAAUUCUUAUCCACUUGUAAAAUCAAUCCAAAAAUCUUAAAUAUGAAACAUCUAAUAUUGUCAAAUCUAUAUACAUUUAUAAUAAUUCAACUACAUAUUUAUAAUUGAUAAUUCUUAAAUAGAUCUAAUAUUAUUUUUAAAACUUUCAAAAUUUUCUUAUAUAAUAAUAAUUAACCAUUAUAAAAAAAAAAUCAAAUUAUAUAUAUCUUAAUAACUGAGAAUUAUUAGACCAAAAUAUUUACAACAUUAUAAUUAUAGACAUCAAAAAUGAAAUGGAAGAAGAUAUGUCAAGUCAAAAUCUCAAAUAAAGAGAGUCAAAAACCUAAAGACACCCUUAUAACUCUAAAUUCUAAAUUCUAAAAUCUAAAAAAAUCAAAAAUUAAGAAGAUCAAAAACUUAAAUAAUCUCAAUAUAUAGCAAAAAUAAACUAACUACAUGCUUUUUAGCAAGUAGGUAGCCAACUUUAUUAAAGUAAAGUCAAUAUAUUAUAAAUAUUUAAUUUUUAGGCGAAUAGAAUACCUACUUAGCACCAACUUACUAGUAGAUAUUUUUAUCAUUUGAAUACUUAUAUCUUUCUUUCUUUUUUUAAUUAUAAGAACUCAAAAAUAAAAAUAAAAAUAAAUAUAUUAUAAAAUUAAUUUAAAUUAAUUUAAGAAUUUUUUAUCUUGUGGAUUGGAAGAUUAUAGUGUUUGAAGUAGAAAGAAAAGUUUUCUUUGAUCCUUGCAAUACAAGAUUAGUCCACUUGAAUUGGCCAUGGAAUUAAUCUUUUUUGGUACUAAAGUUGAAUUUAAAUAAGAACUGCAAAGUAGACUAUGCUACUUACUGCUGUAAAACAUUUUAGACUUAGAAGAUUUGAGUAGAAUUUUCAAAAUUAAUUUGUAAAAGUAGCAUGUCCAUAACGAAACAUUUCACAUUUUAUUUUAUUUUUAACUUACUUUUUUUUGUAAAUCACAUUAAGUGGAUUCCAAUGCAUGAUUAUAUCCCAUAAUUUUGCAUGCUUUUGAAUUGCUUAGUCCAUUACCUAAUUUAUUGGUCUAUUACCUAAUUCAUUAUCUAAUCCACUACCCAGUGCUAGUGCUGAAGGCCAUUGUUUUGGUGACUACACUGAAAUCUCUUCAUUAUCAUUGACUCAAGACUCAAAGACUCCACUAUUACGGGUCCCUUUUGAGAAGAUGUUAUGUUAGAAAAUCAAUUUUGAAAUAAAAUUGGAAUGUUUGCGACCCACCUUGGUAUCAACAUUCAUGUUCCAUCUAGGUACUCCUCUCACUAGUACAAAUGGGGUUAUUUUUUACACUCUAUAUUCGACACUUUUACUCUGUGCACAAGUUUUGGACACUUUUUUGAUGCUUCACCAAAACGUGUUGAAUUUAGAGUGUCGAAAACAGCCCCAAUUGUAUCAGUGUCUAUGGCGAGACUUCGACGAAGGGCAUGCUAGUGAAGGUCACUUGUUUCUUUACAGAUCCGGUGGUAUUUGAUUGACUUGUGAGACAAUUCAAGUUGUCAAAUCGAACCUUCACACACAAUAAAUCCGUAGUGAUUUUACAUUGUGCAUUUCUCGAUUGAUAUCUGUGAUACUAUUCUGUCACCCUCUUUUACCCGGUUGAUACUGAGGCGCUCAUGUUGUAAAAGACCGAAAAAAACAAAAGAAAACAAUGUUGUAAACAUGUGCAGGCUGCCUGUGACAACACACGUGUUCUACAUUCUGAUAGACUAGCCAAGGUUCGUUUUGAGAGCAUUGGCUGCUGCGUUCUGUGAUUUUUUUUGGCAAAAGCACUAGAGUUUUAUCUUAGAAUACUGCAGAUAUUUUCAAGAACGUGUCGCAGCCCGGAUAAUUGGAUGACAAUUGCACAUGCAUCUGCUCAGAAUAAGCUGAGGCGGUUCUCGGUAUUCAAGAAAGGGGAAGCGUGUGGAGGUAAUUUAACCAGAGUUGCACAGCUCCAUUUCCACCUGUAACACGCAACACGAAUCCCCUUACAUAGGUAUUUACUAAAAUUUUAUAGACUACAUAGUCGGUUUAGGGAUGGCAGACUGUGUGAUCAGGCUCAAAGCCUAUAUAACACUCACACUCUUAAGCAACCAUCGUUUUCACAAAGCUGUGAAGGAGCCCCCAAUUUCUCAGACCGCAAGGUAUUUCUUUGCAUUGAGAGAUCUUAUUUGCGUGAUAUUUCAGACGUAUAUUAUUAAUCUCUGCCUCUGUGUUCGAUCUGUAUGGGAAGUCUCUGAUCUUGCAUGAUUUGUAGUUUGCAGCCGUCUCACUUCACGUUUUAAUUUUUCUGAUAUCAUUUUUGUAUUCUUAACAUGUUCUUUUGCAAUAAGAAAUGUUAGAUUUAUCACAUUGUCACGUGAAAAAGAGAUAGCACAAUUGGCAAAGCGAAAACAGCCAAUAUUACAGAGUUUUCCUGAAAGUGAAGGGAUGAUCCCUUUUAUCUUUUACAGUGCUCAAAAUGUACUCGUUGUUUGGUGAUGGGCCAGACUGUUUGGAAGGAACUAGAACCGGCGAAGUGUUACCCUUUACUAGGUCUCGGUAAUACAAUGGGAAAUUCAAGUUCCUCAGAAGAAAGCCGCCGACGUAGAACUAAUGUUGCUGGACAGGUCGGUCCCCCUAGCAACAUUGCCGGACAGCAUUCCACGCAACCGGCAGCCAAUCAUCCACAGGUCCAUCACGCGCCGGUUCAUCACGCGCCGGUUCAUCACGCGCCGGCCCAUCACGGAGGCCAUCAUGGAGGAGGCCACGGAGGCUGCCAUCACGGAGGCCAUCAUGGAGGAGGCCACUGUGGGUUUUGAGGCCACAAGAUACAUGAGCAAACAAUGAGUUUAAAUAAACUGAGGCGCAGCUUCCGACGGUGGUUUCCAGCUCCCAGAAUUAUAGCGGAGUAGACGGGGGGAAAAGGGGGUCGGCGUGAAAUAGAGUGUCUGUUUGGUAUAAUGUCUGUUUGUAUGUGAAACUUAUACGCCGAAAUAAAGACCAAUGGGAAUGGAGGUUACACCGGUAGGAUAUAGAACCCGAAACCACCUUUUUGUGUUGAGGGAGCUCUCCCUAAUCUAGCCAUGUUCCCCAUUCCUACACCCAUUAAAUGCCAAGGGCUUCUGGUAUCAGUUCAGGUGAUUUUAAAUGGUGUACAAAUAAGGGAUCGCCCUAAACUUUGAUCUAUUUUUUCAGCUUCUCUUCUGUAUACAAUUUAAUAUACAAUCGAAGAAAAUUUGAUAAUAAACAAAAACCCACUUGGGGCUUGUUAAUGAACCUUGAAAUCAUUCAAAAUACUUCUUAAUUUAAAAACAAGAUUUCUAGAGCAAGCUGAUUUGAGAAUUUUUAAAAAAAGAUUCCAAGGAAAAAAUUUGAAAAUUAUUGAUUUUAUACCUCUAAAAAUUAAUUAAAGAUUGAGAAUUUGGAAUCUAAUAACAAAUAGAAAAAAUCCUAAAUUUAUGCAUUUUUUUUAAGACUAUAUGUAUUAUUUAUAAAAAAAUAAAAACUUUGGUGCAUGAUUAAGUUAUAUAUUACAAAAAUUAGGAUAUAAAUUCUAUUGCUAUGUUUUAUUAUAUUUACAAUAUUUGAUGUAAAUCCACUACAUUCAUCAUUUCUAAAAUCAAAAUUUUAAAAAAUAAAAUAUUUGACAUCAGUACAUAGAGUACAAAAUAAUAAAUAUUUUAUUAUUAAAGCUAUUUUAUUUAUGAAAAAGUAUAUACAUAUUGAUGAAAUUUGCCAAAUUAUUAAGAAUAUCCAUGUAUUCUUUAUAAUAUCAAAUUUAUCUCUUUUUUUUUUUCAUAAUUGCAAAAAUGCCCUUCAAUGUGAUAAGCCAUCUAUUUCUUAUUUGUUUUUAGUUUGAAUUGGGAUCUAAAGCCUAUAUCAUGUUGAUUUUGCCUAGCACUUUUUUUCACAUCUUAAGCACCUUUUAGAAUAGAUUGAAAGCCAAUUAAAGCUAUAGUAUUGAGAAGCCUUAUAAUCAUGUGAGGAGCUAGUGAUGAUUUCAAGGAAGAUGUCAUGAAAUCAAUUAGGAGCCUUGGAGAUCAAAUUGCCAUUGCUAUUAGUGCAAAAUUCGCUCAUAUGUCUCCUCCUUUAAAUGAGACCGACAACUUUCCUAUCAACAUUUGGUGUAGGAAUUACAAUCAAUAUGGCCAUAGUGAGCAAUUUUGCCAAAUGCCAAAAUUUCAAGGUCCAUAUGCAGCUCCUCAAUUUCGCCCAAACUCCACUAAUCAAUCGGGAGGUCAACCUCAACCAAGAGGUGUGUCAUGCCCUACUUAUCAUUGUAUGCACCCUAUUGACCCCAAAAUUUGUUGGAUACAAACCGGGGUGACAUGUGGAAGUUCCGGAGGCAAUUAUCCCACCGAUAGAUGUAGGAAGGCUCCAAAAGAGCCCGAACCAGGAGCUUCAUUUGUUCCAAAUCCUUCUCAUAAUUUGUUUAACAACCGGCCACUGCAAAGGCCUCAACAAACUUACAAUACUAACCCUCAAUUGGCACAAUGGUAUUCACAACCAUAUGCAAUGCACCCAAUGGGACAACCACCGGUUCAUAUGUAACCACCAAAGAGCCACCAAGUUGUAGGCCCAAACUCUAGCAAUAUCAAUUCUCAUUACUAUGUAGAACCAUUACCCGAUCAUUCUCCCAUACCACGGCUUAUAGUAUAUCUUCUCCCAAUAGUAUUAUAAGAUGCCCGGAAUGAGGUUGUGUCCUAUUUCGAGGGGAUCCAACCACCGACUCAAAAAGCCAUAUCCACCUCAAUUCCAAAGGCAAAGCAAAGUGCUAAUAUCAUCAUUAAUAAGAAUAAAGACCAAUCCAUGGUCUCUAAUAGUCAAGAAUUGCUCGAGCAAUAUGUAGCGGUAAUGACAAGGCAACAACAGUUGAACAACUAUCGUAGUACAAUGAGAUAGUAUUCAGCUAAUUAGCCUAAGUUACUAGCUAACUACUAACAACCACUCCAGAUUCAUUCCCACAGAAAACUACAGAGAAAUUAUAGCUAAGCAAGCAUGAGAAACACUAACAUAAACAAUGGAUUGAGAAAUCCAGUUGGUAUGGGGCACCUCCAAGUCUUAGUUGAGCUCCACCUUUCCUGAGCGGGUCCCAUACCUCCCUAAACCAUCAAUCCUCAAAGCAGGCCAAAACAACACCAAAGCACAUCAAAACAUUGCAUCCAAGGAGAGGUAGUGGGUCUAGAGCCCUUGAAACCUCCCACAUCCCUUAAAAUAGCCUGCCUAUGGUCAGUUGUGGAAGUUAUUGCAUCCAAACAAAGAGAUUUUACCCAAGGGUGAAAACAGGGUCUAGACGUGAAAACAAGAAAGAACAAGGGUCUAGGGAGAAACUAGGGGCUAAAUAUAGGUUCUACAGGGUAAAAAUGGUCCUCCAACAGUUCAUGGCAGAACCUUAGAGGCAGUCACGGAUGGUUUCACGACUGGAUAAAACGACUUAACCCCAAGCCAAAACAAGGUGCAAAUAGUAAAACUAUGCUAUUAAAAGAUACACAGGGAUACAAGGGAUAAAAGGGAUAAAAAUAGACCAAUAGGGGUUAAAAUUAUUGUCACAUAAGUGUAAGGUAGGCCCCUAGGGUCAAUUAUGGAUAUUCCUGCGACUGGGGGAAUCUUACCUUUACCCGGCAUAAAAUAGAGGUUUAACACUAGAAAUUGACUGCUCCAAGGAUAUAUAUGGGUGCCCAAGGCUUAAAACAGUCUACUCAAGGUAAAAACCCUCCCUAAAAAGCAAAUGGCGGAAUCCAAAAGGGAGUUGCAGAUCCUUCCACGAAUGAGAGAAUCUACCUUAUUUGAGAAUCUUCCACUUCCCAAGGUGAAAACAAGGUGAAAUAGUGAAAAACAGAAAGGGCAAAGAUAUAUAUAGCUACGAAGGGUUAAAAUUAGCCCUCCAGGGGUAAUUUAUCCACUCCCACAGUGAAUUAUGAUGGAUCGCAGAUUGAUCCACGAUUGGUAGAAUCUUGCCCUUCACAAGGUCAAAACUGAAAUUUUAAGAUCGAACUAGACUGCCCACAGGUUACAUAUAGACCUCAGGGGUUAAGAAUAAUCUUCCAAGAGUAAAUAUUUCCUCCCAUAGGGAUUUGAAGGGAGUCGCAGAUUUUCACCUUGGGAAGUGGAAGAUUCUCUCAGUCGCAUGAAUAUCCGCGACUCACUUUUAACGCUUUGUGGGAGUGAGAAUUUGACCCAUAGUUGACUAAUUUUAACCCCUAUAAUCUCUAGAUACCCUUGGUCAAUCUAUUUUAAGCCCUUCACUACUGUUUUUAUCCUCAAAUAAGGUAGAUUCUCUCAUUCGUGGAAGGAUCUGCAACUCCCUUUUGGAUUCCGCCAUUUGCUUUUUAGGGAGGGUUUUUACCUUGAGUAGACUGUUUUAAGCCUUGGGCACCCAUAUAUAUCCUUGGAGCAGUCAAUUUCUAGUGUUAAACCUCUAUUUUAUCCCGGGUAAAGGUAAGAUUCCCCCAGUUGCAGGAAUAUCCAUAAUUGACCCUUGGGGCCUACCUUACACUUAUGUGACAAUAAUUUUAACCCCUAUUGGUCUAUUUUUAUCCCUUGUAUCCCUGUGUAUCUUUUAAUAGCAUAGUUUUACUAUUUGCACCUUGUUUUGGCUUGGGGUUAAGUCGUUUCAUCCAGUACCUUAUAGGAUAUAGGCACACUAAACCCUAAUUAACAACUUAGCUCAGUGACCUCAAGAACUAGAGAACGAAGCCCUUGUCAGAGACUCCAUUACCCAGUUGCACAAGUAACAUAACAAUAAGCCCUUGUCAGCAAUUCAGACCAAAGAAUAUUAAGCCAUGUCAGGUUGGAGCCCUUGUCAGCGACUCCAAGCUUGUGGGAGUUGACCUUCCCUUCUGGAUUCAGUCCUUGUCAGCAACCUAGCCCAGAUGGUUUCAAGUGUCUUAAGACACUCCCAAAGAGGGUGAACACACGUUAAGAGCUUUAUACCUUCACCCUUAGUGGUAUUCAACCUUCCUAGGGGUUAGAUAAGUGUAAUUAGUAGAUUUCCUUCCAGCAGCGCGGCAUUCACUCUUCCCUACCAAGGUACUAGACACUCUUCUCAUAGGGGGAUUGAGACAAAAGAGAAUAAGCUGCAAACCUCACAAUGGGCGGCAUUCACCAUUCCCACAGGUCACACAAGCCACAACACCUUUUCUUUCACCCCAGAGACACCCAACCUCUCUCCAAAGUGUUUAGUGUUUUAGGUAUUCGGGUAUAGGGUAUAGGGUAUAGGGAUUUAGAGUUAUACCGGUUUGCCUAAGGACCCCGCAUAAUUUUUAUUAUGCCUACCCCCACAUUUGUGGACAUUGUGAUUCCAUAUCCGAAAUCAAACCCUUAAUAUCUAUCAUGGUUUAGGAUAUAUGAUUAGUUUGACCAAGGAAACCCUAGUUGACUAGGGUUUAGGGAUUAGGAGUUAGAUAGGGUUUAGGGGUAGGGGUAGAGUUUUGGGUUUAGAGUUCUUCAUUUACAGGAACGCCUUGAAGGAAGACCGCUGAUGCAUUCUUUGCCCCUCCGCACGUUAUCUCCACUUGUUGUAAUCGAACCUGGUCCCCAAACAGACAAAUGCUCUUUUUAUCUCCCUGGGUGUCUCUCGGAUCAACUGCAGUCCCUUCUCUGUCGACGUGAUCAUUCCUUGACUCACAACCGCAUCCAUCACCGUUCCCAUCACAAACUCACUUGUUUUCAGCUCCAGGUAUCUGCAAUGGCCACAACCCAACACACGCCCACGCGCAUCAGACGAGACACCUGCCCACUCUCACCACAUCAUUCCAGCCCCCUCUUUCUAAACAAUGCCACUGGAACGCACACAGAGCUGCAAAUACUAUGCCCAGGCGGGCAUCACAAGUGCUACCCGAUGAAUCACAUUCAGCGAAACCAGAGACUCACCCGUCCUCGAUGCUCUCAAGGUCCAUGUCGUCCAAUAUUUUGCGCGGUUGACGCUCACAGACAGCACUCGUAUCCACAAACUAUUUCUGGUCGUCACUCAAUUCCGUGCCUUCCAUCAGAUUGCGCGUAAAUACGAUGCCAAACAACAGAUUCUUGAUCUCCUGACAGAUGUAAGCCAACUCCUUCAGCUUCGCAAAUGCCACUUUCUCAGUCGCCCGUUGGACAGUCAAUGCCUGCGUGCCCAGCAAUUCGGUCGAUCCACUUCAAUAGCCAAGAACCAUCACACAGCACGUCACGUGUACUUCCCCAGCGAAAACAAUCUAACGCUCGGUCCACGGAUGCCUCGACAAUCACACAGGGGCCACCAGAUUCAACUGCAGCUCAUCAAGCUCCCCGAACCACCCCGACAGGAUUCACAAUGCUCAAACCUCGACAUUCAUGAUUUUCAACCCAUCGCGCACCAGUGCCCCAUAGCUAAAAGCGAUUACACUAUAUUCCACUACUAAACAACAUCGUAAUCAUUAAGCUACUUCACGUAAAUAUGUCCCGGUAAAAGCAGCAUCUGACACCCCCCCCCCCAACUACGCUGUUCUGUACGAUUGCGCUAUCCCCAGCAGUUAGAGCUGCACAUGUGACGCCCCUGGUGGCACAUACUGUUGCGCAAAAUCCGCAAGAAUUUGGCUACAACAACCAUCAAUAGCCUAGUUCAAGACUGUUCAUCAACACAUAUGUUGCUGACACCGUUUCUGCAACGCUGCACCCAAUUGCAAUCAAUCUCAACAAGGUUUCAAGCCCGACCUGUAACAACUCCACGCUGGUAGUGUGAAAAAAGCAGGAUACGCCAGUUAUGCUCCCCUCUGCAUCAGUCCUCUUGUUCACUGUGAGCAGAGCAUCCACGUAUUUCCCUUGUCGAUCGAAGAAAGAGAACGGAAAUCGGUCCGUAUCUUGACCAUCCAUGGCACUGUUCAGCACAAUCAUGAACUUCGUCAUCGCAUCUUGGCCCUUCAAGCGGCAGCACAUAAAUUGCAUUCCAAAGAUCUCACCCACUAGCAGCUCCCCCAGCACCUGCAAUGCAGCGUCCGCAAAUGAAUUCAGAACACGAUCCUCACUACUGCCUAAGUCGCCAACUCCUCACCAAAUCCCAUUAAAACAGAGACACUCAUGACUGCGACAGUGGACCGCAACACUCUCACACCAACCACGUACGACCGCUCACCAGAACUUGGCACACCCAUGAAACAUCAGCUUUCCGGAGCUUGGCCUUGCCUCAAAAGUCCUCUCUGGUGCCAACAACUCAGUCACGACCAACAUAAAACUCGCCGCACACUACGCUACUGUGAACCUCACCUCAACAGCUUUGCGAUAGAUCCGCAACCCCGAGCCGACCCGCGAACCCAACCAUACAAUAGAAGAAACCAUCAUCUUACCUCUUCCCUCUUCCAUCCAGUGAGCUUCUCCAUUGAAGGAUUCCACUCCGAGCAAUACCCAUACUCGUCAGUGCUGAAUAUAGGAGGAAUCGGAGGGUUGGGGUUCAUCACGAUAUCUUUGUAAUCCCCUUGAAUUCGAGUGAACUUGUCUAGCACUAGUUUCUGCCCCGUCACAUCGUGCCCCACAAAGCAAAACCCCACUACGUUGUCUGCCACGUCUCUGCUUGAGCAUGCAUUCACUAUCAAUAUCACUGCACCCUUCUCCUUCUGUGGCCCGAAAGUCUUCAAUUGAAUCUCGACAUUUUGUUCUUCUUCACCUGCACGCAAUGGUCCGAACAUCCAUCAACACCUCUGUCACCAUCAUCAAAUCACAUCGGUGCCGCCACCCAAGACGAUCAACAAGCACGACCCAACCCAAAGCAUUUCCACGUUCUGUCUAGAGUCGCACACGAUUCAACUACUCAAACAGAGUUUCCACGACGCUGAAAUCCCCUUCCAGCACCAAACUUCGGCACGCUGCUCAACCUUCCGCACGCGCCGCCCCUCUGCCGGGGAUUGCUAGAGUCUCCAGUUAAACCAUUCACAACAAUCGCAUCACCGGUCAAACCGUCCCAGAAAUUGGUAGCCGUCCAUUACCUUCUAACGCAAAAUAUAGAAGCCGCUCCACAACCUCCGCCGAUUCCUCCAAAAUCAGAUCCUUCACCAGCGACCGACCCAUGGCCUCUCCGACUGGAAGUCCCGUCAGUUCAGCCACUUUCGCGUUCCAACCAUUGAUGAAUCCGCUCGAGUCCACAGCAAGAAUAGGGGCCGUCGCAGUCUCGAUCAACCGAACCAUCUCAUUCGCCACUAAGCUCAGCUCAUCCAUGCCCUGGAGUUUCAAGUCAUUCAGAUGGGCGUGUAUCAUGGUUUUAGUGUCGCUGUCGUCAAUAUCCUGGAACGACCCCCUCAAAAUCAGCUGAAGCGAGUGGAUUGCGUCCAUUUCCACGUCAUCCCAUGGCAGGCUCCUCUUCACCACCUCCAGGAACGCCUUGAACGAAGACAGCGGAUGCAUUCUUCUGCCGUCAUCCCUCUCAUCCGGAUCGUGCUUCGCCCCUCCCCACUUUAUCUCCUUGGUAGUGUGGGACCUGGAAGGAACCAUCCGCACGACCCCACAUCUCAGCAAACAGCACCUGAAACACUGUACAUUCCCCCGCCCACAUCUUCCCACCAGCCACCACUAACACACACAAGGCACUCACUCCAUCCUCGAAACCUCUCACCCCCUACUUGCACCAGAGUCCACACACCAGUCAAUCACACCAUACCGAAUGAUGAGACCGCCCUGCAUCGCCGGCAACUAAUGUACCUGAACCAGAAGAGGAAAUCCUUCGGGGUGAUCUUCGCAGCCGCCAUUCCGCACACGGCAUCACCAAGCUCCGCAGCGCCAGGGUACCCGGCAUCCGCCAGGCUGUCGGUGCUCAACCCCGUCAAAUCGCGGUGGCACUCCAGGAGCCAAUCCGCGAUCUCCUUGAUCUGCGCCUCUUUCGGUGUGACCCCCAACAGCCAAAACCGUUUCCCGUAGUACAGGGCUGCGCCGUCGCAUUUCACCAGAUCCAUGAUGUACGGCGACCGCGACACAAUCCCGAUCGGCGCGUCCCGCAGCAUCAUAUCACACAGACGCCUUCGCUGCCAGCUUCUGCGAUCGCGUCGUGCGGCCGAAUGGGCUUCGAGUCGAUCACCACCCUAACGUCAAUGCGGUGCAGAAUGGCGUAGAACGGCUUCCCCGAGCUCCGGCAGUGCACGGACACGGGAUUCAGCAUCGUCACAUCCGCAGCGCUCGACGCCUUCUCGAGGGCCGUGGCGCUCGACGGCGUUAACAGCGUCCGCGCAUCCGUGCCAAUGCCCAGCACAUCCUGCUGCCCCGCACUCGGCACGCCGCCUUGCGGCACCAAGUCAAGCAUAUCCGGCGCAUUCUCGCUGUACCCGAUGACCCUAAAGCUGCUCUCCUCCACCGCCACCAUACAUCCGAACGUCUGCACCAACCCCCUCGCUGCAUCUGCUGUAGGUACGCGGUCACCGCCUGCGCCGGCACAUUCUGGCCCAUUGACUUUGACGCGUGCACGGAUUUCCAGUAGUCGAACGAAUCGCCAAAAUCCCCCGACUCCUCGUACACUGCCUGCAGCUUGGCAUCGGCCGUGGUUUGCGCCACCUGCAGGCUCUGCUUCGACUUCACCAAACUCCCCGACGAGGAGGCCAACUUCGUGGACGACAUCUUGCAUACUACCACUACAUGCACACCUCCGCCACCGCCCACAAUUCUCCUUCUUCUACUCCUCUGGCUCCCGCAAGCCGAGCAGAUGUCGCAAUUGCAAAUCCCAUUAAACCCACAGUGAAUCCAACGAUCAAUGCUCUGCAACUCGCGGCAAGGUCAAUGUCUGAUUGAGAAAUCAGACCUACCGCCGAGUGCACUAUAUUCACCUCUAACACAACAAAUGUAACCAUAACCGCUCUCAUUGAAAUAUUCAUCCUUUGGGCCACCGCUAAUCUAUAAUCCCCUCAUCUGAAGAAGGAUAUUCUACCAUCAAUGUUUAAUUUAUCAAAUUAUAGAUUCAAUUCUAUAAUUGGAUCUAAUGAUGAUUCUUGUAUAACCUCUAAAAUGUAAUUGUCCUAAAACAGGUUUUUUUGAGAAUUUGGGCAGGUUCCUAUGAUGUCAAUCUUAAGUAUAAUUUAUUGAAACUUUUUUUUGAAAGUGUGGGAAUAUCAGAGCUUCAUAGGGAUCUAUUUCUUUUAUCAUUUGGACAUUGCGAAAAAAAUCUGGGAAUCGCGUAAUCAUCCGUGUUUAGAAUCUUCGAGCAAUCCAUGUUUUUAUUUGGAAUCCAUUUCUCUGCAAUCGUGUAAGCGCAGAUAGGGAAUGGCUAAAUUUUUGUAGAGUUUGUCGCCAAAUGUAGAUGCCAGAUGUUUCCUUACUGUGGUAGGGAGGUGUGUCUGCGAGGAAAUAGAGGGUACCUGUAACGAUCACUCGCCAUCCUCGGAGUUACGUGUGGAAAUGCUCGUGACCACAGCUUGUGCUGCUUUUCAGGAUUGGCUCUUGAUGACAAGAUCCAGUCUUUAUCUUGUUUACGGAGGAAGGUCUUAUUGAAGAGUAACUUGAACGUUCAACACCUUAUAAACCCUGACAGAGGUGUAGAGCUGUCAUUCGCCCACAUGGUUUAAUCCAGCCCCGUAUUUGGAAGAUCUUUUCAGCCCGCAAAAUAUCUAUCUAGUCCCAACGUCAAUACAAUCCUUGUUACUAGCUGUAAUCUUACCGACUGUGAACGUGAAAUGAGUGAACACGUGACUGUGCUGUGAGGCCGGAGUUAGUCGGAUACAUAUGCACGGGGGAAGAGAAGUGGGGAGACGUUAAGGGUAUUUGACAUGUCUGCAAAGCUUACUUCAGCGUAAGGUUCGGUACGUGAGAGCACAGGAACUUGAAAGAACCACUGGUUGACUGAAAUAACGUCGGAGCCAAGAUCGGUGAAGGACAUAGUGACAUGCCUGAUGGAUCGUGAGACUUCACGGGCAGGCUCAAGAGUGAGAGGAGUAGGAAAUGUGGAAGACCCAGAAGUUGAUUGUAAUAAGCCAAGCGAAACGCCGCUACGCUUGUUAUCCGCCAAGCAUUGGCUGGACUGUACCACAGGCUUGGUGACUAACGUGUGCACAUAUGUGUUGGUGAGCCAUGUGAUAGGUAAUCAUCUUUGCACAGUUCGGAGGUCACUUUUUUCUCUCUAACAAUACAAAUCUCCAAGUUGUGUUGCUGCACGAGCAUCGCACUUUUCUGCUGCUCUAAUUGCUUUAUAACAGGGUCAAGGCUGAAAUGUUUCGUGAAGCCGCACAUGCGCGAAUCGCUAACCCCAAUCGGACUAUAAUAGCCUGGCGGCGAAGAUCACAUUCGGUGAAGCUAUCUGGGCUUAUGACGGCGUUUGUUUCCGCCUGAUUGCAAUUGCUGCUCUCGCAGAACUUUUGGGCUUUAAGUGCUAUAAAUGUGUAAAAAAACAUAUGCUUUGCAACUUUCAGCUGUUUUGUGCUUUACUUAAAAGCUGUGUGCUGCUUCUAAGCUGCAAACGUGGAGGUAGGGUUUGUUUCCGACAAUGUACACAAACGAAGCUUCAAGGUCGUCCAUAACAAGUACGUCACCUUUGCUUUAAUAUUACCUCUUGUGUUCGGCAAAACCAUCUCAGGCACAGGGAAACGAACGCAAUUGAACAACUCAUCAUACGUGCAGGUUACACAUGGGUACUUUUAGUAAGAGCAUGAAACAGACGUUUGUCAUUCCGAAUUUCUACAAUCCUUUACGUAAAGAGUUAUGUUGUAGCCACGCAGUCAUCUCCACAGUGCCAGUUGUUGCUAUCUCACCAGAUGCCACAGUGAGGGGCACAUCAAGCUUCUAGUAAGAAAUGAGCGGAAAAGCUGACAUCAACACAUUGAUAAUCAAAAAGCAACAUGCUGUCAACGCAUUGACAACCAAAAACCAGCAUCUAGGUACUAAUCUCCACUUCAUAAGAAACUACAACAUGCCCUGUGUCCCGACAGUCACUGCCCACCGCCCAGACGAAGCACCAAGUGCAGGGUAGACUCCUUCUGGAUGCUGUAGUCUGCCAGAGUACGUCCAUCCUCCGACUGCUUACCAGCAAGUAUCAACCUCUGCUGGUCAGGGGCCCGGGAUCUUCGCCGUCACUUGUAUUGCUGCUUUUCGAAAUGUUUCGCAUUGAGUGCACUUGCAUCCGGAACCAUAGUCCCUACAAGGAGCAAGUCUCCCUGUUAAAUUUCCAAACGCUUUGCCGGCCUGAAUCGCCAUCUUACAUUGCUCACACAGGCAACCAUUGUCUCUGUCUCUACAUGGUAUUCCUAAUGAGCCACCUACAUUGCCCAUUCCAAUGUCCGCACGCCAGAUCAACAAAACGGGCAGGGCUGUAGCAACGAUAUUUUGGUCCCCCAGGCAGGGAGGUGAGCUGGGCGAGGGUUCGGAAUAGGAGAGAUUUUUCUUCUAUUGAACUGCAAGAAGGUUAGAGGAAGAUUGCUCGCAAGGUAGCACUCAGAAAACGCAGCUUCGCGACUAGAUACUCGGAGUGCUAUCUGAGAUGUUUCCUUGCCUUGCUCUUUAUUCCCUUUCAACUACACUAGCUCCCACAACCAUAUGGGAUUACUCAAAUCCCUUCCCCUUAUUCAAACAUGUUCAUGAGGCUUACAUACCUCAAAUCUUUCUAUUCCUUUGAUUACUUGCAGCAAUUAUGUAUAUUAUUGGUACUAAUAUCUACCAACUUAUUAUCCAUGUU